GCCACCAUAGCUUAGAGGUUAGAGCACUGGUCUCGUAAACCAUUGGUCGCGAGUUCGAAUCUCGCUGGUGGUU